GCUGGGCAUGGUGGUACAUGCCUGUAAUUCCAGCUACUCGGGAGCUGAGGCACAAGAAUCGCUUGAACCCAGGAGGUGGGGGUUGCAGUGAGCUGAGAUCGCGCCACUGCACUCUCCACCCUGGGUGACAGAGUGAGAUUCUGUCUCCA
rnacentral:SRP_RNA from 2 species